rnacentral:sRNA from 1 species
UGCGAUCCCGCGAUAGGGAUAGCAGUGGAAAUCCUUUUUACAAAGGUCUUGCGAAGGGAAAGGAAAGGAGGGCUUUGUAAAAAGAUUGCAGCGGAUAGCCCGGUCCGGA